GAAAAGAGCGAGGUGACAGGCGUUGUGAGUUCUUGGGAACGCAGCUACCCGUGUAAACAGUAGUGUACAGAUCUCGCCGAACUGGUUUCAGAGGAUAGAACAAAUCCAGUGAACUAGCAAGGAAAAGAAGACAAUUGACUUGGAUCCUGGUUAUAGGCAGUGGG